rnacentral:rRNA from 1 species
UACAGAGGGGGCGAGCGUUGUUCGGAAUUACUGGGCGUAAAGGGCGCGUAGGCGGCCUGCUAAGUCGAACGUGAAAUCCCCGGGCUCAACCCGGGAACUGCGUCCGAUACUGGUGGGCUUGAAUCCGGGAGAGGGAUGUGGAAUUCCAGGUGUAGCGGUGAAAUGCGUAGAUAUCUGGAGGAACACCGGUGGCGAAGGCGGCAUCCUGGACCGGUAUUGACACUGAAAAGCGAAAGCCAGGGGAGCAAACGGG